GACGAACGCUGGCGGCGUGCCUAAUACAUGCAAGUUGAGCGCUGAAGGUUGGUACUUGUACCGACUGGAUGAGCAGCGAACGGGUGAGUAACGCGUGGGGAAUCUGCCUUUGAGCGGGGGACAACAUUUGGAAACGAAUGCUAAUACCGCAUAAAAACUUUAAACACAAGUUUUAAGUUUGAAAGAUGCAAUUGCAUCACUCAAAGAUGAUCCCGCGUUGUAUUAGCUAGUUGGUGAGGUAAAGGCUCACCAAGGCGAGGAUACAUAGCCGACCUGAGAGGGUGGUUGGCCCGCUUGGGAGUGUGACACGGCCCAAACUCCUACAGGAGGCACCCGUAGGGAAUCUUCGGCCAUGGGUGAAAGUCUGACCGAGCAACGCCGCGUGAGUGAAGAAGGUUUUCGGAUCGUAAAACUCUGUUUGUAGGGAAGAACGUUGGUGAGAGUGGAAAGCUCAUCAAGUGACGGUAACUACCCAGAAAGGGCCGGCUAACUACGUG
rnacentral:rRNA from 1 species